rnacentral:rRNA from 1 species
CGGGGCUUAAAGUCUUGUAAUUGGAAUGAUGGGAAUUUAAACCUCUUCCAGAGUAUCAAUUGGAGGGCAAGUCUGGUGCCAGCAGCCGCGGUAAUUCCAGCUCCAAUAGCGUAUAUUAAAAUUGUUGCAGUUAAAAAGCUCGUAGUUGAAUUUCUGCUGCAUUGCUUGUGUCCCUCUGGGGUCUGUGCAUGUGGCUUUUUUCGGACGGAGUUUCUUUGUCUGAAUGUUUACUUUGAGAAAAUUAGAGUGCUCAAAGCAGGCUUUCGCCUUGAAUAGUUUAGCAUUGAAUAAUAAAGUAGGACUUUGGUUCUAUUUUGUUGGUUUUAGGUACCAAAGUAAUGGUUAAUAGGAACAGUUGGGGGCAUUCGUAUUUAACUGUCAGAGGUGAAAUUCUUAGAUUUGUUAAAGACGAACUACUGCGAAAGCAUUUGCCAAGGAUGUUUUCAUUAAUCAAGAAC